UCUCCGUUGGUGAACCAGCGGAGGGAUCAUUACAGGACUCGCAAGACUCCUUCACCCUGUGAACCUCACUACAAGCACGUUGCUACGGAGGGUUUCCCGGCGGGGGUUAUCCCUCGCCGGAGCGCACAGCCGGACGGCAGCUUACUAUACUCUGUCGCUUUGCGUUGGCAACUCGAGAAAAAACAAACAAGUUAAAACUUUCAACAACGGAUCUCUUGGUUCUG
rnacentral:misc_RNA from 1 species